GUCUCUAAACCCCUUGCGCACCUCCGAUCCACCGAGAAACCCGACGCCGUCCUUAACUUCAUGAGAUCUCAGGGCUUCGGCGGCGCCGGUAUCAGGAAGGUGAUAUCUGCGGAUCCUAGAUACUUAUGCUACAACGUGGAGAAGAGACUCGCCCCGAAGUUUCAGUUCUUACGCGAUUUGGGCCUAUCGGAGUCGGACAUCGUCGAUGCCAUCCUGAAGAACCAUGGCAUCCUCCUCUACAACGGUCACCGUUCCAUCGUCCCCAAAUUGGAGAUGUGGGAAAGUCUCUUGGGAUCGAGAGAGCUCGUUCUCAAGCAUCUCAAGAAGACCCGACGGUUUUUCUACUCCAGCGUUGAGAAGACAUUGGAUCCUAACCUAAAGUUCUUGAGGGAUGAGUGCGGCAUUCCUGAAGAAAGGCUCUCUCUCGUCUUGAGAAGUCACCCACAAUUAAUCUUACAGAAACCAGAGUCACUCCGAGCUUUGGUGGCGAGAGCCGAUGAGCUGGGGACGCCACGGCAAUCUCGGAUGUUCGUGUGGACACUUGAUGCUCUCCAAAUGCUAAGCAAAGAAUCGUUCGAGGCCAAGGCCGAGCUCAUGAGGAGCUUCGGGUGGUCGGAGUCGGAGUUUUCUUCUGCAGUCAGGAAAGCACCCACCUUCUUAUGCAUCUCCCUCGAUAUGUUGCGCAGAAAAGUGGAAUUUUUUAUCAAUGUAGUCGGGUACACCCCUUCCUUCAUCGCCUCCCAACCAUCUAUCUUGCUAUAUAGUCUGCAGAAGAGGGUAAUUCCUCGGUUUCGUGUUUUGGAGAUGUUGAAUACGAAAGGCUUGUGCACUCAACGAGGCAAGUUUUCGUACUAUGUGAAAUUAUCAAAUGAAAAAUUCCGGGAGAAGAUUGUUCUACCUUACAAAGAAAAGGUUCCUGAGCUUCUUGAUAUUUUGAGAGCAGGUGAGUGUGAAGGGAAAUGAGCCUUUUAUUUGGUAUCAGAGGAGGAUGAGAAGGGCUUAGCUGCUGGUCUAACUCACAUUUGAAUUUCUCAUCAGGAGCUAAGCAGUGAUUCGGCACUUUUUUCCUUGACAAUAAGCUGUCUUACAUCAACCACCAGCCUUGGCUGCUGAGUUGCAGUCCAGUGAAAGAAUUAUUCCUUUGGUGUCAUAUGGUAGUAAUGUUGUAAUUGGAAGGUCUAUUCAGUGCCCAACACAAAAUGUCUUCCAGUUUUACUCAUUAAGGUUCAUGGAAAAGUCUGUUCUUUGUUGCAAAGCAGAAGUCCCUGGCCUGUAUGAAAUCUCUGAUAGAUGAAGGUAGAUUAUUCCCCUAGUUUGAGAUUCUGGAAAUAGAAUGCAAAUGGCUUCUCUAAAAGCAGUGAUUUAAAAAGCGCUAGGCGCCAAGGUCCAAAAACGCCGAAGGCGCUAGGUGCUCGUCCGAGCGAAGCGAAGCGCUAAAAUAUAAAAAUAUAUAAUAUAAUUAAUAAAUAUAAUUAUUUAAAAUUUUAAAUAAAAAUAUACUAUUAAAUUAAAAAAAUCUAAAAUACAAAAUCAUAAUGUCAUAUUAACAAAAAGUUUCAAAUAAAUAAAAAUUAAUAGUAUUAAAAUCAAAUUAAUAUAUUAUUAAUCUAUUAACAAUAUUGAAAAUUAAUCAUUUCAAAUAAACUUAAUAAUAUUAACAGUAUACAGUAUACGUAUAUUGUUAAAAGGAAGUGUAAAGGGGUGCUGAGCCUGUUGACUGAAAAAAGAGGAAGCGACAGCGGCAGCUGCUAGUGGCGACAACGGUAGAGUUUGCUAGCAGCGACAACGGUGAGCAGCGGCAGUGGGAGCGAGAGCGGGAGCAUGAGCGGCGAGCAGCGGUAGCGUUUGCGAGCAGCGACAGUGGCGAGUAGCAGGAUCGACAGCGGCGAGGGUUAGGGUUCGGUUGUCACUUAUAUCAGUUUUAGUUAGUUCGAUUGAACCAACUAACCAUCAUAGACCGAACCAGGACCGAACCAGACCUAAAAUCUUGGUUUGGUCGCCUUGGUUAACCCGGGUGCUCGCCCGAAGCGCCCAGUGCCUGGGCUCGGGCGAGCGCCCAGGCGGCGCCUGUUUGAAGUGCGCCGCCUGGGAGAUUAGCGAGGCGCUCGGGCCCCGCCUCGCCCGAGCGCCCGAGCGCCUUUUAAAAUUGCUGUCUAAAAGUCUAUUGAGGUGUGAGAUUCUUCUUAUGUGACAAGCUAGUUUAGCAUUGAUUGGCUUGUGGCGUCGACGCUAAGCAUUAUGACAUGGCCACGCUUGAGCCCAUCCUUCUUGUACAGAUUCGCAAACUCUGUCGGAGACUUAUCCGACUCGAAGUUGGUCACCAGGUCCGACGCGUCGCCGUAUUGUCACGAACUUAGCUGGUUUUGCCUAAGUCGUGCAGCACCCUUGCGUGUCCGUCCGCAAAGGUCAACCUCUCCGAAGCCUCCCAUUGUCCCUUAGGACCAACAAAGGAAAGAACGGGUUAGAGAGAACGCCUCAAUCGGGAUCCACAAGCAAACAUAUCCGAAAAAUAUUUCAUAGACAAUGCAAAUUACAAAUAGACUUUACAAGCUUUGAUCAGUUGCACAACAAAGGGUAAAAUGGUCCAUUAUAGAUCGAAAAUCUCUCGCACAUGUCCACAUGAUACAACCUUUAUUUACAAGCCUAAAAAGACCACCAACCCAACUAAAAUAAGACUAUUAAGUCUUCGACCGUCCUUCUACAUGUUGUACAAUAAAUGAACAUACCAAAAGACACGGACAUACAUAAGCAUUACAUCAGACAUCCUAUUUAGAAAUUUGUCCGUGAUAGUAUGUCGAAUCACGAAGCAUGAAUCCCACAAUUUGUUUCACUUUACCCUACCACUUUGGAUCUCGUUCUACUCAGCGGUGGCCAGAGAACCGAGGAGAAAGCAAGAGAAGAAUGCGCAGUUUCAUAUAACAUCUUUUUAUCAUGUGAAAAAAUCAUUUUUCAUCUCAUAAUAUAGAAAAUUUUUGUAUAUAAGUUUGGCUUAGUCGUAUCUCCACUGAUAUUAAGUUACCUUGUCUGUUAAUAAUAGGUUUUAACUCUUACAUGACAUAGGAGAAGACUCGAGGCUUGUGGAUUCUGUUCUACUUGAGAUGCUUUUUAUAUAGAUUUUUAUACGUUUGGAGAUGUUAUUUUCGAGAGUAAAGAAACGAAUCGCGAAAACACUAUCAAACAUGCCUACCUAGAGUCUAAAAAAAAAAAUAAUGAAUAGUGGUAUGAUGAUCUUUCUUAAAAAAAUAUUUAUAUAUAAUUUUUAAAACUUAGAGCGUUCUAAGAGACAAACCUGAAGUUAAAUAGUCAAAAUUCGUCCCAAAAUCAAAAUUAUUUUCUUUAGUAAGUGUGUUUUUCUGAAAAAGAUAAAAUUAUAUAAUUAUUUUAUAUAUCAUUUUAUCCAUUUUGAUAUACAUAAUUUAUUCCUGUAAUUUUGUAUUUCUUGAGUAUUGCGAACGUUACACACGCUGCAUAUAGGAAUUAGGGUUUCGCUUGGGGUGCUCGCUUCUCUCCUACAAUGGCGGCUGCGACUCUCCGCUCCGUCCUCCGCCGCAAUAGCCUGCUGCCCUUGUUCGAAACCUGCCAUCUUCGAGAUCUCCUCUUCUUCUCCUCCUCUGUCGACCGUGCCGCCGCCGCCGUAGGCGGCACCAUGUCUCCAGACCCCCACUUCAUGGUGGAAUACCUCGUGAACUCCUGCGGGUUCUCCCCCUCCGAGGCAGCCAAGGUCUCUAAACCCCUUGCGCACCUCCGAUCCACCAAGAAACCCGACGCCGUCCUUAACUUCAUGAGAUCUCAGGGCUUCGGCGGCGCCGGUAUCAGGAAGGUGAUAUCUGCGGAUCCUAGAUUCUUAUGCUACAACGUGGAGAAGAGACUCGCCCCGAAGUUUCAGUUCUUACGCGAUUUGGGCCUAUCGGAGUCGGAUAUCGUCGAUGCCAUCCUGAAGAACGAUGGCAUCCUCCUCUACAACGUUCACCGUUCCAUCGUCCCCAAAUCGGAGAUGUGGGAAAGUCUCUUGGGAUCGAGAGAGCUCGUUCUCAAGCAUCUCAAGAAGACCCGAUGGUUUUUCUACUCCAGCGUUGAGAAGACAUUGCAUCCUAACCUAAAGUUCUUGAGGGAUGAGUGCGGCAUUCCUGAAGAAAGGCUCUCUCUCGUCUUGAGAAGUCACCCACAAUUAAUCUUACAGAAACCAGAGUCACUCCGAGCUUUGGUGGCGAGAGCCGAUGAGCUGGGGACGCCACGGCAAUCUCGGAUGUUCGUGCGGACACUUGCUUUUCUCCAAAUGCUAAGCAAAGAAAGGUUCGAGGCCAAGGCCGAGCUCAUGAGGAGCUUCGGGUGGUCGGAGUCGGAGUUUUCUUCUGCAGUCAGGAAAGCACCCACCUUCAUAGGCAUGUCCCUCGAUAUGUUGCGCAGAAAAGUGGAAUUUUUUAUCAAUGUGGUCGGUUACACCCCUUCCUUCAUCGCCGACAAAUCAUAUCUCUUGCUAUUUAGUCUGCAGAAGAAGGUAAUUCCUCGGUUUCGUGUCACAGAGAUGUUGAAAUCGAAAGGAUUGUUGACUGGACAAGCCAAGUUUCCAUACAUUCUCCAAUUAUCAGAUACCAAAUUCUUGGAGAAGUUUGUUCUCCCUCACAAAGAAAAUGUUCCUGAGCUUCUUGAUAUUUUGAGAGCAGGUGAGUGUGAAGGGAAAUGAGCCUUUUAUUUGGUAUCAGAGGAGGAUGAGAAGGGCUUAGCUGCUGGUCUAACUCACAUUUGAAUUUCUCAUCAGGAGCUAAGCAGUGAUUCGGCACCUUUUUCCUUGACAAUAAGCUGUCUUACAUCAACCACCAGCCUUGGCUACUGAGUUGCAGUCCAGUGAAAGAAUUAUUCCUUUGGUGUCAUAUGGUAGUAAUGUUGUAAUUGGAAGGUCUAUUCAGUGCCCAACACAAAAUGUCUUCCAGUUUUACUCAUUUAGGUUCAUGGAAAAGUCUGUUCUUUGUUGCAAAGUAGAAGUCCCUGGCCUGUUUGAAAUCUCUGAUAGAUGAUGGUAGAUUAUUCCCCUAGUUUGAGAUUCUGGAAAUAGAAUGCAAAUGACUUCUCUAAAAGCAGUGAUUUAAAAAGCACUAGGCGCCAAGGUCUGAAACCCAAGCCGCGCUAGGUGCUCGUUCGAGUGAAGCGAGGCGUUAAAAUAUAAAAAUAUAUAAUAUAAUUAAUAAAUAUAAUUAUUUAAAAUUUUAAAUAAAAAUAUACUAUUAAAUUAAGAAAAUCUAAGAUACAAAAUCAUAAUGUCAUAUUAACAAAAAGUUUCAAAUAAAUAAAAAUUAACAAUAUUAAAAUCAAAUUAAUUUAUUAUUAAUCUAGUAACAAUAUUGAAAAUUAAUCAUUUCAAAUAAACUUAAUAAUAUUAACAGUAUACAGUAUACGUAUACUGUUAAAAGGAAGUGUAAAGGGGUGCUGAGCCUGUUGAUUGAGAAAAGAGGAAGCGACAGUGGCGAGCGGCGGCGACAGCGGCAGCUGCUAGUGGCGACAGCGGUAGCGUUUGCGAGCAGCGACAGCGGUGAGCAGCGGUAGUGGGAGCUAGAGCAGGAGCAUGAGCGGCGAGCAACGACAGCGUUUGCGAGCAGCGGGAUCGGUAGCGGCGAGGGUUAGGGUUCAGUUGUCACUUAUAUCAGUUUUAGUUGGUUCGAUUGAACCAACUAACCAUCAUAGACCGAACCAGGACUGAACCACACCUAAAAUCUUGGUUUGGUCGCCUUGGUUAACCCGGUUGCUCGCCUGAAGUGCCCAGCGCCUGGGCUCGGGCGAGCGCCCAGGUGGCGCCUAUUUGAAGCGCGCCGCCUGGGAGAUUGGUGAGGCACUCGGGCCUCGCCUCGCCUCGCCCGAGCGCCUAGGCGAGCGCCCGAGCGCCUUUUAAAAUCCCUGUCUAAAAGUCUAUUGAGGUGUGAGAUUCUUCUUAUGUGACAAGCUAGUUUAGCAUUGAUUAUAAACCAACUUUGUUUUGUCUUACUAAAUUUUUGCUCGAAUAAUUUUCUGAUUGUGUUUGGCACAGUAUUGUUGGUUUGUAUGUGAACUGCAGGUUUUAGAAAUUCUGCUUAGCAGUCCAACGGAGAUUAUUUUGGAUCUUAGGAACAUUUGGAUUCUGUGCAAAUUGAUUCUGAACGGGUAUUUGGAUUCUGUCCAACUUAAUUCCGGAUCGGUUAUUGGUUGUUGGGUGAGUGUGAAAGAGCCAUGUUUCAGAUUAAGUUAUGCAGUAUGUAUACACCACCAAAGAUGAUGAGAAGUUACAUGGAGUAAUACUUGCUCUGAUGAUUUUAGUAGCUGAAAAAAAUUUAAACGCCAAAGUGUUGUUUCUAUAAUUUGUUGUAGGUUGGUUUUCAUGGAUUUUUGGAUUUGGAUGUCUUCAAGGAGUUGUUAUCUUGUCAGUUGAGUUUCUAUGCAAACUUGCUCGUGUGCUAAUUGGAAGAUUCCAUUUAUGUUUCUGUUAUGUAUUGUGAUAUUUGCAUGCAGGGGCCUCAAUGGAAUUUGGAAGACCAGUUGCUGUGUUGAUCAGGAUUACCAUUGGUUUGAUACUCAGCCAUUUCUUUUGCAUGUAAGAAGGUGUCACUUUGCUUGCAGAUUGAAUGGACUUCAGAGAAUCAAAACUUGUGUAUGUUAUACUGAAAUGCCUUCUGCCUCAUUGGAAUUGUCGAGUAUGCUAUCCUGAAAUGUCUUCAGCCUCACUGGAAUUGUUGAGUUUGCUAUCCUGAAAUGUCUUCAGCCUCAUUGGAAUUGUUGCUCAGGCAUUUCCUGCAUCAACAAACUCUAACAUGCAAACUAAUUUAUACGCCUAAACAUUUUAAAAUUGACAACAAAAUGUGUAUUUCAAAUUUCUGUAAUUGUCUUUAGGAUUUGUUUUAGAGUUAAUGAUCAUUACAUCAUAAGGUUUUAUGUCCCGCAUUUAAUGCAGAAAUGACUACUUAUGAUUGUGCAAACUAUUCUGACCCAUUCUCAGCUACUCUUGUUUCGGCCUCUCCAUGAAAUUGUGCAUAUUUUUAAUAUCACAAUUCAGAUAAGAUCAUAAGAAUAUCGAUCAUCUUUCUCAUAUGUAAAAUGUUUUCGGAAUCUGGAUAUCAGCUGUUCAUCUUUUGCAGCGAAUUUUGUGUAGCUGUGCAUGAAUUGUGGAACUGAUAGAACUAACAAGUGCAUCAAGAAUAUUGGAAGGUAUGCGAAAACUGCUUUUCUAAUUACAUUCUUGUUCCUGCCAUGCUUGUUUGUAGUGCUAUAGAGUAUGCUAUGAAUCUUGUCUCUUGCAAGCAAUCAUUGGAAGUGGUUCUUGGAUUCUUGUUCAUAGUUUUUGUUUUAUUUUUGAGUGUGUUAGUUUAUUUAAUCUGUUGCGAGUUCGGUAUCACAAGGUUUCAAAAUCAUUUGGUUAUUAUCUCAAUCCUCAAUGGGCAUAUCGAGACCCUUAAUCAGCCUAAAUUGGGCUUUCCCAUUAAGUAGACUUGCUCAAUAUUUUCUUACUUUUGUUCGUAAGGCCCAAUUGAACCCAUUACGGACCCGUAUGCAGCCCGUUUCUCGUGCGUACACUCAACCCUGUAUCUUACUUUCUUUAUAUGUUUGUUAUAGAUUGCUCCUCAGGCAAUCAGGUAAGUGUGAUUUGUGAUUUCUGUGAAUUCUUCAUCAAGUCUGCUGCUUUUUCUUCUUUCUUCCAAUUGUAAGUUAUCUGUUUUCAUUACACAACUGUGUAAGCAUAAUAUAGAUUGGAAGUUAAAUAUAUCUUGCAAUGAUUGUAAGAAUUCUUCAUGUCAUGGAGAGUAUUCAAGCUGAAGUUUUUGCGGAAUCGUUUAACUAUUGAUUGUUAUUAGCAAUAAGUAAGAAGGACAUUGCAAUAACAUUCUUAGCUUAAGUUUUGAUCUGCUAAUUAGCUUACUUUUCACUAAAGCAUGAUUGUGCCCUGUGAGAUUUUUAAUCAAAAGCUAAAUGUUUCUCUCCCUUAGAUUGGUAAUUUUGAGGUGUUACUGUUAUGUGUAACAAUAUUAUGCAUUGGAAGGUAAACUUGUGCAUUUUAAUGUUGUGUCACAUCUUUGCAAUGGUCAUAAACAUUUUUCAAGUUUCUGGUGGUACUAGUUUCUCCACUGUUGUUUAGAGUGGAGUUGUUAGCCUAUGUUCUUCCAAGCAUGUUUGCCUUGAGCUAAAUGUAGUACCUGUGGGAUUUACAAUUGAAAGGUAUACAGUAAGACGAAGGCAACAGAGGUUCUUAAUGACUUACUGGGAAUGGAUGCUAAGAUGUUACAUAAAUGUACUUAAAUCCUUUGGGUCUCAAUUGACAUGACAAAAGGCUUGUUGUAAGUGCAAUGCCUUGUGUGCCAUGGUGCAGGUGGGAGCUAAGCACAAUGAUAAUAUCUAUAUUAAGAUAAAGUGGAUGAGGCAAAUGUGAAUUUUGUUGGUGGAUAUCUCAUGGUGGUCUAAUCAUAAGUGACAAAAGAUUGGAUGAAAGAAACAGAUUAUGAUUUGAGCCUAUGAGUGAUAAAAGAAUUUAGUAAAUGAGUCCCUUUCAUGGAUUGCAUCAGAGAUGGAAUUUAUUUUGUGUGGAGUCCUCAUCAUUAUGCAGACUUUUUUUGUCAUCAAUGAUGAUUGUGGUUAACUAUUUAACUUUAUAUGUGUAAAAGAAUAUAUAUAUAUAAAAAUAUAAAUAAAAAUAUAAAUAAAUAAAUAAAUAAAUAUAUAUAUAUAUAGCUCGAAGAUCAACUGGAUUGUUGGAUUAAUAAUAAUAAUAAUAGUCUAUAAUAAUAAAUAUAAAAGAUUGGAUUUUGGAAAUAAUUAUUACAUAAGGAAUUGGGAGGCAGUCAACCUCAUUCCUUUCAUGUUGAAGAACAGACCACUUCUAAACCAUCAAGAAGCUUCAUACAAAGUCGGACUUGCAAAUUAACAUGUAAUCUCAAAAGGUUUAGAUGUGACAAUUAAAUGUGUAUUUCAAGAUUCGUUAAUUACCUUUAGCUCUUGUAGUAGAGUUUAUGGUCAUUUGCAUCACUAGUAUUUUAGAUUUAUGCCUGGCCAUGCCUUCGUGCAUACACUAUCUUGACCCAUUCUCAACUCGUUUUUUUUCUGCCUAGCCAAGCCAUGCCUUCGUGCAUGUCUUUAGUAUCAUUUCAGAUAGGAUCAUAAGAUUAUUAAUCAUGUUUAUCAAUGCAUUUUAUAUUUUGAUAUCAGUUGUUCCAUCUUUGCUGUGCAGGAGUUGUAGAACUGAUAGAACUUGCAAGUUCAUCAACAAUAUUGAGAAGAUACUCUUUUUUCCUUAUGACUGAAUAAUAACGUCCCAAAUCUUUUUGUCAACACACACACGUAUGUCUCAAUUUUGGAAAGACAGACAUUAAUGAAAUGAAUAUAUGGAAGGAAGUGAUAAAAGUAGAAUUCAUGAAUUUAAAUAAGACAAGUAAUCUAAGUAAAAUCGUGCACUUAUUUCAUGUUAAUGAACCAAUGCAAUGUGAACAUAAAACAUGAACGAUAGGAUACUUUCGGAUGCUCACUAAGUUGGCAUGUAUAGAUUGAUUGUCCCAAAUAUCACUAAACGUUUAUAAAAGUACAGUAAAAAGCAAUGAUCAAUAGAAGAAAAAUGAAUAUUAAUUUUUUUUUAAUUUAGGCAAUUUCAUAAAAAAAUUUGAAAGUUGAAGUUUAAAAAAAAAAAGAAUUCGUCGGAUGAUCAAAUCACUUUUCUCAUGAAAAGCGUGUUUUAUUGUGGAGAGAUAAAGUUAUAUAAAUAUUUUGGCGAUCACUUUAUCCAUAUUUGUGACAUAAAUAAUUUAUUGCUGCAGUUUUGUAUUUCUUGUGCAUAGCGAAACUUAUACACGCUAUAUAUAGGAAUUAGGGUGCCCCUCUCAGGUCUCUUUCUUCUCCCACAAUGGCGGCUGCGACGCUCCGCUCCGUACUCCGCCGCAAUCUCCUCCUGCCCUUAUUCGAAACCUGCCACCUUCGAGAUCGCCUCUUCUUCUCCUCCUCUGUCGACGCUGCCGCCGUCACCGUAGGCGGCACCAUGUCUCCAGAUCCCCACUUCAUGGUGGAAUACCUCGUGAACUCCUGCGGGUUCUCCCCCUCCGAGGCAGCCAAGGUCUCUAAACCCCUUGCGCACCUCCGAGCCACCGAGAAACCCGACGCCAUCCUUAACUUCAUGAGAUCUCAGGGCUUCGACGGCGCCGGUAUCAGGAAGGUGAUAUCUGCGGAUCCUAGAUACUUAUGCUACAACGUGGAGAAGAACCUCGCCCCGAAGUUUCAGUUCUUACGUGAUUUGGGUCUAUCGGAGUCGGAUAUCGUCGAUGUCAUCCUGAAGAAC
rnacentral:lncRNA from 1 species